rnacentral:rRNA from 1 species
UACGUAGGUGGCAAGCGUUGUCCGGAUUUAUUGGGUUUAAAGGGUGCGUAGGCGGCCUAUUAAGUCAGUGGUGAAAUAUCUCAGCUCAACUGAGAGUGUGCCAAUGAUACUGAUGGGCUUGAGUACAGAUGAGGUAGGCGGAAUUGACGGUGUAGCGGUGAAAUGCUUAGAUAUCGUCAAGAACACCUAUAGCGAAGGCAGCUUACUAGGCUGUAACUGACGCUGAGGCACGAAAAGUGUGGGGAUCAAACAGG